rnacentral:rRNA from 1 species
AUUGAACGCUAGCGGCAGGCCUAACACAUGCAAGUCGAACGAGUGGCGGACGGGUGAGUAAUGUCUGGGAACCUGCCCGGUGGCGGGGGAUAACUACUGGAAACGGUAGCUAAUACCGCAUACCAUCGGAUGUGCCCAGAUGGGAUUAGCUAGUAGGUGGGGUAAAGGCUCACCUAGGCGACGAUCCCUAGCUGGUCUGAGAGGAUGACCAGCCACACUGGAACUGAGACACGGUCCAGACUCCUACGGGAGGCAGCAGUGGGGAAUAUUGCACAAUGGGCGCAACCCUGAUGCAGCCAUGCCGCGUGUAUGAAGAAGGCCUUCGGGUUGUAAAGUACUUUCAGCGGGGAGGCGUUACCCGCAGAAGAAGCACCGGCUAACUCCGUGCCAGCAGCCGCGGUAAUUC